rnacentral:rRNA from 1 species
UCCGUAGGCGGGCGUCUAAGUCAGUGGUGAAAUCUUACAGCUCAACUGUAAAAUUGCCAUUGAUACUGGAUGUCUUGAAUUAGUGUGAAGUGGUUAGAAUGUGUAGUGUAGCGGUGAAAUGCAUAGAUAUUACACAGAAUACCAAUUGCGAAGGCAGAUCACUAACACUAUAUUGACGCUGAGGGACGAAAGCGUGGGGAGCGAACAGGAUUAGAUACACUGGUAGUCC